rnacentral:rRNA from 1 species
CAGGCUUAACACAUGCAAGUCGAGGGGCAGCAUGGUCUUAGCUUGCUAAGGCCGAUGGCGACCGGCGCACGGGUGAGUAACGCGUAUCCAACCUGCCUUACACUCUUGGACAGCCUUCUGAAAGGGAGAUUAAUACAAGAUGUUAUCAUGAGUAAGCAUUUUCGCAUGAUUAAAGGUUUACCGGUGUAAGAUGGGGAUGCGUUCCAUUAGAUAGUAGGCGGGGUAACGGCCCACCUAGUCUUCGAUGGAUAGGGGUUCUGAGAGGAAGGUCCCCCACAUUGGAACUGAGACACGGUCCAAACUCCUACGGGAGGCAGCAGUGAGGAAUAUUGGUCAAUGGACGAGAGUCUGAACCAGCCAAGUAGCGUGAAGGAUGAAGGUUCUAUGGAUUGUAAACUUCUUUUAUACGGGAAUAAACGAAUCCACGCGUGGAUUUUUGCAUGUACCGUAUGAAUAAGGAUCGGCUAACUCCGUGCCAGCAGCCGCGGUAAUACGGAGGAUCCGAGCGUUAUCCGGAUUUAUUGGGUUUAAAGGGAGCGUAGAUGGGUUGUUAAGUCAGUUGUGAAAGUUUGCGGCUCAACCGUAAAAUUGCAAUUGAUACUGGCAGUCUUGAGUAACAGUUGAGGUAGGCGGAAUUCGUGGUGUAGCGGUGAAAUGCUUAGAUAUCACGAAGAACUCCCAUUGCGAAGGCAGCUUUACUACCCUGUAACUGACAUUGAUGCUCGAAAGUGUGGGUAUCAAACAGGAAUAGAUACCCUUGGUAGUCCACACGGGAAACGAAUGAAUACUCCCUGUAGGCAAUAUACAGUCUGCGGCCCAACGAAAACAUUAAGUAUUCCCCCUGGGGAAUACCCCCGCAACCGUGAAACCCAAAGGAAUUGACCGGGGCCCCCACAACCGAAAGAACAUGUGGUUUAAUUCGAUGAUACGCGAGGAACUUUACCCGGGCUUAAAUUGCAACCGAAUAUGGCGGAAACGCUAUAGCUAGCAAUAGCGGUUGUGAAGGUGCUGCAUGGUUGUCGUCAGCUCGUGCCGUGAGGUGUCGGCUUAAGUGCCAUAACGAGCGCAACCCUUGCCGAUAGUUACUAACAGGUUAUGCUGAGGACUCUGUCGGGACUGCCAUCGUAAGAUGUGAGGAAGGUGGGGAUGACGUCAAAUCAGCACGGCCCUUACGUCCGGGGCUACACACGUGUUACAAUGGGGGGUACAGAGGGCUGCUACCACGCAAGUGGAUGCCAAUCCCAAAAACCUCUCUCAGUUCGGAUUGAAGUCUGCAACCCGACUUCAUGAAGCUGGAUUCGCUAGUAAUCGCGCAUCAGCCACGGCGCGGUGAAUACGUUCCCGGGCCUUGUACACACCGCCCGUCAAGCCAUGGGAGCCGGGGGUACCUGAAGUGCGUAACCGCAAGGAGCGCCCUAGGGUAAAACUGGUGACUGGGGC